GACCAUUUUGGUAGCUUCAGUGGUUAGAGCAUCUGCCUCAGAAACAGGAGGUCAUGUGUUCAAAUCCUGGCCAAGUCA